GACGAACCGUGCGAACGUUGUUCGGAAUCACUGGGCUUAAAGGGCGCGUAGGCGGGCUGACAAGUCUGGGGUGAAAUGCCACGGCUCAACCGUGGAACUGCCUCAGAUACUGUCGGCCUCGAGGGAGGUAGGGGCGUGCGGAACUGUAGGUGGAGCGGUGAAAUGCGUUGAUAUCAUCAGGAACACCGGUGGCGAAAGCGGCUGACUGGGUCUCUUCUGACGCUGAGGUACGAAAGCUAGGGGAGCGAACGGGAGUUAGAAAACCC
rnacentral:rRNA from 1 species